CUACGGGAGGCAGCAGUGGGGAAUAUUGCACAAUGAGCGAAAGCUUGAUGCAGCCAUACCGCGUGUGUGAAGAAGGCCCGAGGGUUGUAAAGCACUUUCAAUUGGGAGGAAGGUUAAGUAGUUAAUACCUGCUUAAUUUGACGUUACCUUUAGAAGAAGCACCGGCUAACUCUGUGCCAGCAGCCGCGGUAAUACAGAGGGUGCAAGCGUUAUUCGGAAUUACUGGGCGUAAAGCGCGCGUAGGCGGAUUGUUAAGUCAGUUGUGAAAGCCCUGGGCUCAACCUGGGAACUGCAUCUGAUACUGGCAAUCUAGAGUUUAAGAGAGGGAAGUGGAAUUCCAGGUGUAGCAGUGAAAUGCGUAGAUAUCUGGAGGAACAUCAGUGGCGAAGGCGACUUCCUGGCUUAAAACUGACGCUGAGGUGCGAAAGCGUGGGUAGCGAACGGGAUUAGAUACCCCCGUAGUC
rnacentral:rRNA from 1 species